AAUAUCACGCCUUCCUCAUGACCUGAGAUCGAGCUUUUCACAGAAUACGUAGCCAGCGCUUUGUCUUGAUGUGAGGAUGUUCCACGUUUCACAGGGCAAGUCAAUCCUUUAGGAGUUCCAGUCUCUGCCCAUGCUGGGAAGUUCUACGACACGUCUGCCAGAGAUCACGUCUGCGGUGGGCUGAAUUAUGACGUUCUAGAUUACACUUGCUGUGAAAGAGUACUGCAUAAAGAGGAUGCGGCUGUCUUGCUGUGGAAACAGGGUCUUUAACCUCACCCAGGCUUCCUGUUGUGAAGGUCAGCUGACUCUUAAUGUGAGCCAGCUGGUGUCAGAUUGCUGUGGGUGUCAGGCCUAUGACCCACUCAACCAGCUGUGCUGUGACUCUCAGAUCCUAACCAGGACCCAACCCCAUUCCAAGUGUUGCGGAAAAGAGCUUUACAACGAAGACCACCAGCUUUGCUGUGGAAAUGUCGUUAAAGGAAAGAAGCACUUGGGAAUUGCUCCGACUUCUCCAAAAUGUAUGUCAGGGAAACAGCCCUGUGGUCUAGGUGCCAGAACGUUGCUGUGUGAACCCUACAUCUCUCCAGGGACAAAGUCACUUCCACGACCAGACCUGCUGUGAGGGAACACUACGCCACACCCCAUAUCUCUACAAUGGUGCUAGCUGUGGCUCUCAGGUUUACAAUCCAGACAGUAAAAUCUGCUGUGCCGGGAAGCUGUCCAAUAGGGUGCUUGGAAAAAACCUGUGCUGUGGUACAACUCCGUAUGGUGUAGAGGACCGAGGGGUGCUGUGCUGUAACCAGACCUUGCACUGUGAGGUGGAGGAUGGGUACCAGUGCUCCCCAGGUGGCCUAGUGCACAAUUUAUUUAAUUUUAAAUAAAAAAAUAAAUAUAUAUUUUAUUGUGAUUUUUCAAGUGGUGCUACAGCACCCUCAGCAUCCCUACUUCCCGUUGCUAUGGGAGGAAGCUGGUUGAUGGUUGUUUGUGAUUUUAGGAACAUUACUAAUGUAUUUUUCAUUUAAACUGUGUUUAUUAUUGACUGAAGUCUGUUAAUUGGAAAUACGUAAAAAUGUAUCAUGACCUGACAGACUGGAAAUAUAUAUAUAUAUUUAUUUUGUAUGUAUUUUACCCCUCAUUCCACUUCCCCCCACAAUUUCGAUCUUGUCUCAUUGGGUUUCACACGCUGAUCUAAAUUCUCUAGAGAACAAGUGGAAACGUGGGCGAACACAUAAUUAACAAACAAUGCUCUAAUGUUAAAGGCUCAGACCCUGUCAUUCAAACUGUGGGUCGCAACCUGUAGUGCUUUCCCCAAGAACUUGCAUGGCAGUCUGAAUUUACACUGAUACCAUUACUCAAUACUUUGGUCAAGAAAUAAGCGGGAGGUCUGUGCAGUGCAGUUGUCAGUGACGCACUUGAAUCUACUUUCGUUUGAAUCAAAAUAAAUUCAACUACACUUUUGUUUCAUCACAAAACUGGAGAGCAAGCUCUGUCUGGUGUUGUCCACAAAGCAUAUUACAUGGUCAAGCAAGAAUGUUUCAGACUACUAAACAACUAAUGAUUUAGAACCAUAGAGAGUUACCGCAAGUUGCAAAGAAAACAGGAGCUGCCUUCACUAUUUCAGCACCAUUUCGACUUCAACAUUUCAGCAUCAGCAAAUCACCUCUGCUUAGUCUAAUACAGUGACAACUAAAAGAUCUAUGGUCUAUGACACUGUCAAUUUUUUGUUUUCCUAGGCUACCUGGCUAAAAUGCUUGCUUGCUAGCCUAACUUCCUUUCGUGGGCAACGUUAGCUAGUUAACAUUAGCCUU